GGGGAAUAUUGGACAAUGGGGGCAACCCUGAUCCAGCGACGCCGCGUGUGUGAAGAAGGCCUGCGGGUUGUAAAGCACUUUUAGUGGGGACAAAAAGCCGAGGGCUAAUACCUUUCGGUCUUGAUUUAACCCAAAGAAAAAGCACCGGCUAACUCUGUGCCAGCAGCCGCGGUAAUACAGAGGGUGCAAGCGUUAAUCGGAAUUACUGGGCGUAAAGCGUGCGCAGUCGGUUAUUUAAGUCGGAUGUGAAAUCCCCGGGCUCAACCUGGGAAUUGCAUUCGAUACUGGAUAGCUAGAGUUCGGCAGAGGGAAGCGGAAUUUCGGGUGUAGCGGUGAAAUGCGUAGAUAUCCGAAGGAACAUCAGUGGCGAAAGCGGCUUCCUGGACCAGAACUGACGAUCAGGCACGAAAGCGUGGGGAGCAAAC
rnacentral:rRNA from 1 species